rnacentral:rRNA from 1 species
UACGUAGGGGCCUAGCGUUGUCCGGAUUUAUUGGGCGUAAAGAGCUCGUAGGCGGUUCGGUAAGUCAGGUGUGAAAUCUCCACGCUCAACGUGGAGGCGCCACCUGAAACUGCCGUGACUCGAGUCCGGUAGGGGGAGUGUGGAAUUCCCGGUGUAGCGGUGAAAUGCGCAGAUAUCGGGGAGGAACACCAGUGGCGAAGGCGGCACUCUGGGCCGGUACUGGACGCUGAGGAGUGAAAGCGUGGGGAGCGAACAGG